GCCGCCGCCGCCGCCUCCUUCUUGCAUGACACAGCAGAACCGCAGCUGCCGCAGCAAGUCCCAACCAUCCGCCCAGGAAGCGCCGCAACCCGGACUCGGGAGGGGCGGAGAGGGAACCAGGCUGGGGCCACCGCCGAGGGGGAUUCUUGCCCCCACUUUGCGCCACACACUCUUUUCCCAGCUCAGGGGCAAGGGAACAAAAUCAGGCUAAAACCGACCAGGCCAAGCCCUUGAGGGAAGCUGGGGUUCGGCGUUCUCAGGGAUGGGACCAGAGAGAAGGGUGUGAAGGAGACCCCAGUUGAGGCAGGAUACUGCAGGUAAAGAAGGGGAAGAAGAGGCCGAGAAGUCGAGGGCCAGACUGUGAAGGAGAAUAAAGGAGGUCAAAGAGAGGUCAUAUCGUCGUACCUCACUUCCUGACACAAACAAGUUUUUACUGUUGUCAGCAACAAAGCCCUAAUAUAGCUGCGGAAGAGAAAAACUGCAUUGCAUUUGCCUCCUGCAAGCAUCAUCAACACAGUUACCGGAGGAAUGUAAUUCCAGAAAAGCUUUAAAGCUGGUGUGAUGGUAAUUAUGUAUCAAAUGCCUGAUUCUAUUUCUGUUAUUAUUUUGUCAUUUCUGAUCUACUCAAGAGCAGGCUGAACUCGCAGAGGGACAAAUCCAGUUUUUCUUUUUCCCUUGGUAAAAUUUAAUCGGACCUGAUACAAAACUCAUUGCUCUUGGGGAAAAUAAAGUAGGAGCCACGAAAUGUAA